AAAACAUUUCUAUUAGAAUUAAUUAAUAGUAAAAUCUGCUCAAUGAUAAAUUCAAUAGCCGCUUAUGUGCUAAGGUAGCAUAAUAAUUUGUCUUUUAAUUAAAGACUAGAACAAAAGAUAUUUCAUCUAAAUUUUUUUCUUAAAUUAUUAUUUUAAAAUUAUCUUAAGUGUAAAAAGACACUUAUAAAAAUGAAAGACGAUAAGACCCUAUUGAACUUAACUUUAGUUUAACUGGGGAAGUUAAUUAAUUAAAAUUUUAAUUUAUUCAUUCAGAUAAAAUUAGACCUAAUAUAAUUCAUUACUUAAUCAAGUUACCAUAGGGAUAACAGCGUAAUAAAUUUUUAAAGAUCUCAUUUAAAAAAAAGAUUGCGACCUCGAUGUUGAAUUAAUUACCUAAUAAACGCAAUAGUUAUUAAAGUAAGUCUGUUCGACUUUUAAAAAAUUACAUGAUUUGAGUUCAGACCGGUGUAAACCAGGUCGGUUUCUAUCUUCAUUUAAUUAUUUUUGUAGUACGAAAGGACCUAAAAAAAUAAUAAUAUU
rnacentral:rRNA from 1 species